rnacentral:rRNA from 1 species
GGGGAAUAUUGGACAAUGGGCGCAAGCCUGAUCCAGCCAUGCCGCGUGAGUGAUGAAGGCCUUAGGGUUGUAAAGCUCUUUCACCGGUGAAGAUAAUGAUGGUAGCCGGAGAAGAAGCCCCGGCUAACUUCGUGCCAGCAGCCGCGGUAAUACGAAGGUGGCUAGCGUUGUUCGGAAUUACUGGGCGUAAAGCGCACGUAGGCGGACUGGUCAGUUAGGGGUGAAAUCCCAGGGCUUAACCCUGGAACUGCCUUUAAUACUGCCGGUCUGGAGUUCGAGAGAGGUGAGUGGAAUUCCGAGUGUAGAGGUGAAAUUCGUAGAUAUUCGGAGGAACACCAGUGGCGAAGGCGGCUCACUGGCUCGAUACUGACGCUGAGGUGCGAAAGCGUGGGGAGCAAAC